GCUUCAUACUGAGCUGCUCUGAGCUGUCUCUGCCUCUCUGUUUGUCUUCGCUAGCAGUCAGCAUACACCUGUGUGUGCGUGUGCGUGCGUGCGUGGGAGUGUGUGUUGCACUUACUGCUCUCUCCCACUCCCACAGGGUUGUUUAUCAAUGCGGCCGUGUUCGCAGCCUGUGCAGAAAUCAGCUGGCGAGGAGCAGAGCCGACCCGGUGGACUCCGAGUAACAUGAACUCAGAGCAAAGGAAUUGUGCUUGGAGAGUUUCUGCCUCCAUCUUAAGACGAAACAACUUGGAGGAACACACUCGCCCGGCUGGAAUGAAGGACUGCGCACGGGCAGACAAGCGUGGAAAGAAGGGUGUCCGUGUGAACUCCGGUCUUGGAUGGAAAAGCACAACCCGCGUUCCCACCGGGUUCUUGAUUAAUGCCAAAGCUUUGGCCUACACUUCUCCUCCAGCCUGACUCCAUCUCAUUCCAGAGGAUGUCUGACCAUCAAUUCCCUGUUGAUCUCUCUCUCUUCGUUUUGUCUGGCCACGUCCUCCCCUCCUCUGUCCCUCUGCUGGGCCGACCGGCGCAGACACACACACAGAGGACUGCGGCAGCCUCGGCCAUCACGGUCAGCUGGGUGAGUUCUUCCCUUCUCUCCUUCCUCGCAUCUUGGCUCAUCGCCCUGCCGACCUCCUUUUCUUCCUCCUCCUCCUCCUUCAUCUCACAGGCAAUCAGAUCUCAUUUUGUCUUCCUCACGAACAGGCUUAGCCUCCAUGCAGCCCCGAGCCGCGUGAUUGACAGGUGCGGUCCCAGAGGACCGACCAGCCUGCCGCUGUCAGGAGAUGUGAUUGCUCAUAGGGAGAAUAUAAGUUGUAAGGAGCUUUUGGUAUUUUUUUAACGACGGAGGGCAAUUUUAAUCCGGCUGUGCCGCUCUGCUCGCCGUCUGACUGGCAGCACUGCGCAUGUGCAUGGUGCAGCAUUUUGUGUUUUUUUUUUUAAUGUUUUUUUUAAGUGGAGAAUGAAAUGUGUUGUGCUAUUGAUAAUCAUGCUCCGAUUUGGCCGAGCAAGGCCGCGAAAUACGCCACGACAGAGCCACUCUCCUGAGCAUCAUGCAAUGAUCAAAUGCCAUCCCCCUUGUUGUGUGUGUGUGUGUGUGUGUGUGUGUAUGUGUGUGUGUGUGAGCCCAUCCAGGCGUGACUACAGCACACGUGCGUUCACUUGAAAUAAGAUGACUUGUGGUUAAUGUUUGUAUUAACAGCGCGUGCGAUGUGAUUCACGGUACGUAUCGGUAUCCGCCUACCCGCAGAAUACCACAAUGCUUAUUGUCACACAACAUGAAAAUGCGAUGCAUGAAGUAAAGCAUGUACGGCAGGUGCGCGCGGAUCUGACCCACCAAGACCAGCGAGUGAACUUAUGGCUAAAGUGAGUCUUAGGUCUUAGGCGCAGCACAAAUCCAUGGAGAGAGGUAGCUGCCAUUGUCUGCUCGAGUCUCAGCCAUGCGGCACAUUAUGCACUCUGUG
ensembl:lncRNA